rnacentral:rRNA from 1 species
UACGUAGGGUGCGAGCGUUAAUCGGAAUUACUGGGCGUAAAGCGUGCGCAGGCGGUUUUGUAAGCCAGAUGUGAAAUCCCCGGGCUUAACCUGGGAAUGGCAUUUGGGACUGCAAGGCUGGAGUUUGGCAGAGGAGACUGGAAUUCCUGGUGUAGCAGUGAAAUGCGUAGAUAUCAGGAGGAACACCGAUGGCGAAGGCAGGUCUCUGGGCUGAAACUGACGCUGAGGCGCGAAAGCCAGGGGAGCAAACGGG